rnacentral:rRNA from 1 species
AUGGCAUUGCCCGGUAGCUAAAUGCGGAAGAGAUAAGUGCUGAAAGCAUCUAAGCACGAAACUUGCCCCGAGAUGAGUUCUCCCUGAGACUUUAAGUCUCCUGAAGGAACGUUAAAGACGAUGACGUUGAUAGGUCGGGUGUGUAAGCGUAGCGAUACGUUGAGCUAACCGAUACUAAUGAACCGUGAGGCUUAACCUU